rnacentral:rRNA from 1 species
GAUGAACGCUAGCGGCGGGCCUAAUACAUGCAAGUUGAACGAGAUUGUUGGUAGCAAUACUGACAUGAAAGUGGCGCACGGGUGCGUAACACGUAUGUAACCUACCUUUAACUGGGGCAUAGCUUCGAGAAAUCGAAAUUAAUACCCCAUAACAUUUAGAAAAGGCAUCUUUUCUUUAUCAAAGUUCCGGCGGUUAAAGAUGGACAUGCGGUGCAUUAGCUUGUUGGUGAGGUAACGGCUCACCAAGGCUACGAUGCAUAGGGGGUCUGAGAGGAUGAUCCCCCANACUGGUACUGAGACACGGACCAGACUCCUACGGGAGGCAGCAGUAGGGAAUAUUGGGCAAUGGACGAAAGUCUGACCCAGCCACGCCGCGUGAAGGAUGACUGCCCUAUGGGUUGUAAACCUCUUUUGGCAGGAAACAAACCUGCGCUAUACGCGCAGCUGAGGGUACCUGCAGAAUAAGCACCGGCUAACUCCGUGCCAGCAGCCGCGGUAAAG